UCUCCUAUCUGCUGGGAUUAGUUCAUCUGAAAGAGCAUGAGACUCUUAAUCUCAGGGCUAUGGGUUCAAGACCUAUGUUGGGUGAA